GUCGAACGAAACUUCUUUAUCACCGAGUGCUUGCACUCACCGGUAAAGGGCUGAGUGGCGAACGGGUGAGUAACACGUGGGCAACCUGCCCAACAGAGGGGGAUAACACUUGGAAACAGGUGCUAAUACCGCAUAACCAUAGUUACCGCAUGGUAGCUAUGUAAAAGGUGGCUAUGCUACCGCUUUUGGAUGGGCCCGCGGCGCAUUAGCUAGUUGGUGGGGUAAAGGCUUACCAAGGCAAUGAUGCGUAGCCGAACUGAGAGGUUGAUCGGCCACAUUGGGACUGAGACACGGCCCAAACUCCUACGGGAGGCAGCAGUAGGGAAUCUUCCACAAUGGGCGAAAGCCUGAUGGAGCAACGCCGCGUGGGUGAAGAAGGUCUUCGGAUCGUAAAACCCUGUUGUUAGAGAAGAAAGUGCGUGAGAGUAACUGUUCACGUUUCGACGGUAUCUAACCAGAAAGCCACGGCUAACUACGUGCCAGCAGCCGCGGUAAUACGUAGGUGGCAAGCGUUAUCCGGAUUUAUUGGGCGUAAAGGGAACGCAGGCGGUCUUUUAAGUCUGAUGUGAAAGCCUUCGGCUUAACCGGAGUAGUGCAUUGGAAACUGGGAGACUUGAGUGCAGAAGAGGAGAGUGGAACUCCAUGUGUAGCGGUGAAAUGCGUAGAUAUAUGGAAGAACACCAGUGGCGAAAGCGGCUCUCUGGUCUGUAACUGACGCUGAGGUUCGAAAGCGUGGGUAGCAAACAGGAUUAGAUACCCUGGUAGUCCACGCCGUAAACGAUGAAUGCUAAGUGUU
rnacentral:rRNA from 1 species